rnacentral:rRNA from 1 species
AGACGAAUGGUGCAAGCGUUGUUCGGAAUCACUGGGCAUAAAGAGCACGUAGGCGGCGAUGUAAGUCAGGUGUGAAAUCCCUCGGCUCAACCGAGGAACUGCAUCUGAUACUGCAUUGCUUGAGGACGGGAGGGGAGAACGGAAUUCCUGGUGGAGCGGUGAAAUGCGUAGAUAUCAGGAGGAACGCCGGAGGCGAAAGCGGUUCUCUGGCCCGUUUCUGACGCUGAGGUGCGAAAGCUAGGGGAGCAAACAGGAUUAGAUACCCCAGUAGUCC